UUCUCGGCCUUUUGGCUAAGAUCAAGUGUAGUAUCUGUUCUUAUCAGUUUAAUAUCUGAUACGUGAGUCAUUGACUCACAUGAUAUUAAAUUAGUUUUUUGAGGGGGAAGAGUCGCUGCAAUAGCUUGCUAUUGGGUUCUUCAAGCGUCGUCCAUGCGUUGCACUACUGCAAGGACCCGGCGCACCCCACCAACUCAUAAUUUAAGUUUUCAAAUGACACUAUCCCUUACCAGUGAGAGUGAAAAACAAGCACUGAGGCACGAAAUUUAUGAAGCUACUUUUAAAUGUAAGUCUCACUCCCACAUUGCUUAUUUAUAAUAUAUAAUUCGCCUCUAUAUAUUCACUAUAAGCAGCUGGAGAUCGCCGGGCCUGGCAACGCGGGCUUGUCACUCAAGUGGGGGCAUUAAGAUGGUUGGAGGUUGGAAAGGUUCGGAAGGUUGGGCUCCGAGAAGGGUUUAAAAUCUGAUCCGCCCGUUCCAAGAGGAGAGUUUGAGCUGCGUGCCCUUCAGCGUAGGCUUUGAGGCCCGCCUCUCUUAGAGCGGAGGGGACCUCGUGAGGCUGGAAACAGAGCAACGAAAAACCUCCCGCUCUCUUCAGUGGAAGGAUUACGGGCCGGUGCUCUUCAGGUCCAUUAACGCCUGAUGGGACCCUCCUCAAUUCAACAACCAUCUUUU